rnacentral:rRNA from 1 species
CAGCACCUCAAGUGGUCAGGAUGAUUAUUGGGCCUAAAGCGUCCGUAGCAGGUUUUGUAAAUCUUAUGUGAAAUUGUUAUGCUUAACGUAACAGCGUGCAUGAGACACUGCAAGACUUGGGACCGGGAGGAGUCAGAGGUAUUUCUUGGGGAGCGGUAAAAUGCUAUAAUCCAAGAAGGACCACCUAUGGUGAAGACAUCUGACUAGAACGGAUCCGACUGUGAGGGACGAAAGCUAGGGGAGCGAACCGGAUUAGAGACCCGAGUAGUCC